rnacentral:rRNA from 1 species
GACGGAGGGUGCAAGCGUUGUUCGGAAUUACUGGGCGUAAAGCGUGCGCAGGCGGUUUUGGAAGUCUGUCGUGAAAUCCCCGGGCUCAACCUGGGAAUUGCGAUGGAGACUGCAAGGCUAGAAUCUGGCAGAGGGGGGUAGAAUUCCACGUGUAGCAGUGAAAUGCGUAGAGAUGUGGAGGAACACCGAUGGCGAAGGCAGCCCCCUGGGUCAAGAUUGACGCUCAUGCACGAAAGCGUGGGGAGCAAACAGG